GAAAUUCAACACCACAGCUAGAAAGAGCGUCUUAAAAUGAGUAAACCUGCAAAGAUUGGUUGCUAAAUGUUUUAAAAUGAAGAAAAUAUAGCCCUGUGAAAUUCGCAAAUUUUGUAUAUAUUUGUAUUACGCGCGGGAAAAAUAACCACUUUCCGCUCAAAAAUAUAUAUGCAAAAUUUGCGAACUUCACAAGGCUACAUUUUCCUCAUUUUACAACAACUUACAAGCAAACUUCGCAAUUUUACUCAUUUUAAGAUGCUCUUUCCAGCUAGGGUAAUGAACUUC